GGUGCCAUGGAGGAGCAGCCAGUGGUCUUGAGCCCUGAGCUAUAAAUUCAGCUAUAUAUUCAGUUCCAGCUGAAUCAUGAGCAUUUGAAAGGGUCCACCCUCUCAGGAGUGGGUAGGAUGAACUGGGGAGAAAGUGAAGGAGAGAGAGACAACCUGUGUAUGUGUGUGUGUGUGUGUGUGUGUGUGUGUGUGUGUGGAGUGUGUGUGAGGAGUAUGUGUGAGGAGUGUGUGUGUGGAGUGUGUGUGUGUGUGUGGAGUGUGAGCUGCAUGUCACAGCCAGGGGAGGUAUUUCAAGAAGCAAAUGUCCCAUUCUAUUCCAGCUGCCAAGAGGUCCAUUAGGAGAGGAAGGGACUGUGUGAUUCAGUGUCUUGGAAAUCAUGUGACUGGACACACCCAUCCCCAGAGGUUGAGGAGCAAGUGCAAGUUGAAGACAACUGUGUGUGUGAUUUUCGUGGGAAGCAGCUUCAUGAGUUACAACCAAGGAACUCCUUACAUCAUUCAUAUCUUAGCUGAGAUUCACAGACGGGCAGUGCCGCCCAGGGGUCCAUGUCUGACGAGUGGCAGAGGGUUCUCUGAAUUCUGAUGAAGAAGAGACAGAAAGAGUGUAAGAGCCAAAGGGGAUGGAAGACACCAGGAAAAUACGCUCUCUAAAUCAACAGGAUCAAUGCACAAAGAACUCUCAGAGACUGAGGCAGUGUCACCUGGUGUGCACUGGUGUGCACCAGAUGGGAUCCUAGAGCUCAACAGGCAAGUAGACUCACGCCUCACCUCCGUCCCUAACCUAGAAGCAAUCUCCAACUGAUUACCAUUUGCAAAGGAAAAUUUAGGUUGCUUCAAGGACAUCCCACUAGGGAAACAAACUACUCUUAGGGGUAGGUCAAAUGACCAGCAGUGAAUGGCCAACAGAAAAUGAAUUCAAUGGCAGCAAUUCAGAGCUUCUUUGACUCACA